ACCUUCCAGUUUCCUUUCCCCUUGGAUCAGAACACUGAUCUUGGUGGUCAUUAAAAAAAGAAAAAAAAUAGAUGGUCAAAUAAAG
rnacentral:snoRNA from 1 species